ensembl:lncRNA
GCUGCCGGAGGGUUCAAUGGACUUUUAAAGGCAGAAGCCGACGCCAAGUAUCUCGGAUUGAAGCUGCUGACUGCUGGUAUUUUGUGCUGAUAUUCAAUAUCUUCCAAAUUGGCCAAUUUCAUGGCAAAAAUUAUCUGUAAUAUUCAAAAGAUUGUGAAGAGCUGAGCAGGUGAUAGGUUGGGAGUUUGAGGGCGAUGUUAUCAAUUGUGUAUUUUUUUAGGCCGUGCCAAUAUUACAGGGCUUCCCAAAACUCACAGCACAGUUUCACGUUGCAAUGAGACGGGGGGAGUCCGAGCAGUCCUCCUGGGGGGAGUCAGUUUGGCGUAUCAGGGACGCCUAUCCGGUGUCCGGGGGUCUUUCCUGCACCUGAUCUGACAUCCUGGAUCCAGCCUCUUUAUUCUGAGUGCUUGAACAGAACCACUUUGUAAACAUUUCACCUUGUUACCGGCCGCUGUGUUUGCACGCGGAAGCCGUCCUUCAUUGGGACGAGUCCACUUGGCGUCCUCCGGUAGUCGGCAUGCGUAUACCCCGCAUGCCCGACGUGUUCCACAUGGCACGGGCAUUGGGGUUGAGUGGCGGAAAAAAGUGUGUGUGUGUGUGGGUGGGUGUAAUGUAUGUAAUUAGACCAGCCCGGCUGCCUGGGGGAAUUGUGUGGGAGUGUCGGGCACAAAGAGCACUUAGUGUGUGUGUGUGUGUGUGUGUGUGUGUGUUUAUUUGCCACUCUUCUCCAUUGCGUUCACCUCAGGGAGAUUAAAGUGCGUUUCCCUCAGACGAGGGUUUGAGUAAACAAGCAGCAGAACAGAUAAGUUGUGCGUGCAGAAACCAGUACCCUCCUCUGUUUGUCGUUUCCCUUUUGCUCUUGUGCUCUCGUGGAAGCAGCGUGGCUAAACGGCGCCGGAGGAUCGAGUUCGGCCGUUGGUCCCUUCUCUUUGUCAAAGUGUCGGCUGUGCCGAAGCAUCGCCGGGGCGAUAACGGCCCCGCUGACACCGGCGUCAGCCUCUCACUGAGCCCUCGGUUCCCGUCGGCCUCGGCCUCCUCCACGGCGAGAGGGGGGGGACACGAGCAGCAGAGACAUUCCUGCAGAUGAAACAUCUGGCGUGUUUCAGGGCUUUGGCUUCAACCUGCACGGAGGUUGUAACGCUCGUCCGUGCACGCUCAGACGCCCAGCGGCGCCCUGCUAAGUUCUGUAAUGAGGGGAGUGGAGAAGGGCCUCUACACCUCUCAAAUGAGGGAGGCAGGGAGGCGGCGGCCGGGGGGGGAGCCAGCGUGGCUUCAUUUCACCAAGCUGCCGCUGAUCAAACGGGUUUGAUAGCUUUGGCAGAGGAAAACCCGAAGGCACCACUGGAAAGACAUUAACACGAGCGGGUAAGAACCUUAAAAGACCGGAGCGGCAAUCUCGAUCUGUUUGGCUCAUUUCCCUCGGCACAGAUCUAUUUUACAGCGUCCCGGACCAUUUCCCUCUCUGGAUGCUCGCCUCCUGUGAUCGGUCGCCGUGUUUGGAUGCGAGUGCGAUCGCGGCGCCCCCCCCCCUCUUAAGUCAGCCUAAUUUGUAUAAUUGAAUGCAAGUGAUCUGAUGUGCGGUUCAAAGGUAGGGCAGGCGCCGCCGACGUGCCACCCCCAGCGGCGCACGGGUCUGCGCCUCAGCCAGUUCAGGCAGUGCGGCUUCCAAGCGCCGCCGCUCUCAAUGUUUGAUUCACCAGCUCAAAUAUAGACGAUUGCGAGAAAAAUGUUGGUAUUUGGCGGGAGAAGUGGUUCCGAAAUGAGCCUAGAGUUUCCCAUCGCUCACAGGCGGUGGAGGUUUACUUUAAGAUGCAUCUCAGACAUUCAUGUUCAGGAAGUUUUGUGACUUUUAAACUUAAAGCACAAACAAACGUAUAAAACGGCCCAGUUUUAUUUGUCGCUUGACAUUUUUUUUAAGUAUAUUUUGGAGGUGCAGUUUUCAUCGCAUCUCAAACAUCUCAUUUUGGAACUGAAGUCUUCUUUCUCUCUUCCUGCCACGAUGAUUCAAACCCGACUGCCAAGCCGCCUCCCGAUAGGAGCGCUAAACCGGCAGACGUCGUUUCUGUUUUCCCCGUGUUAUUGCUGCGGUUUGACGGAGUGACGUGUCGGGUGGAGGGUUCGAUUCCCCUCCUGGGGACGAGAAAAGACCGACUCGCUGGAGCGUAAAGCUCCGCGUGAGCGACAGAUACAGCCGAGGUGAAAACAAGAUGGUGCUCGCGUCCGAUGCUCAACCCGCCGGGAUGGUUGAAGAGGCCUCGAGUCGGAUCCGCAGACAAAGGAUUUGCACAUAAUUGGCUAAAACGAAACGUUUAAAAAUGUGAACUAAACCUUGUUCAAAGCAAACACGCUGAAUUAAUUGGACCUUGGUGGUUUUUACACAUUUUCGCUAAAAUCUGUCUUGAUGAUUUGAGGACCACAAUUAUUCAGCUUCUUACAUCUUUUAUUAAAGUUGAACAUCUCACAUUAAUUGGUAAUAUUGAUCCAUUAGAAGGGAAGUAGAAGGGAAGUCAAUAACACGACAGCUAACAUUUACACCGCAGCUUCUCUGCGUUUUCAUCAGCUGGUGUUUCCCUUCAACAGCUCGAGUGCAGCGGCGUUUACGCGCCGGCUGCACUGCCAAUAGUCCAAAAGGAUUAUGGGGAACACGUUGUUAAAUACACAAUAUCGAGCUGGAUUCUAAAGGUUCCAACACAGCUGAAGAAUCUCCAUUCUGAGGUUAGCAGCAGACCCGUAUACCUACUUCUUCUAAACACGAAGAGGGAUCCAUGGGAACCAGCUGAGCGUAGUUUAUGGUGAAUCGUUCCCAGUAAGCAAAAAGAGCCCUGACAUGGAAAUUACUCCACAAUCUGCCACCAGCUACACACGUUAUGUGCAAUGUCCUUUGUAACGAUAACGACACAGAAAAAACGUCCGGAGAGGUUCGAGUUUGUCAAGUAGCCAUUACAGACAGAUUACCCGUGAAUCACCAUCGGGGGGGGGAUUCAUAAACCAUUAAACACCAGGCUAUUUAAAAAGUGGCCAAGCCUUUGUGUGUGUGUGUGUGUGUGUGUGUGCGCGUGCGAGCGCACGGCCUCUGGGCACAUUGUGGUGCCGUUUUGGACGGCUGCCCUCAUUCUGAUGUCCCCAUCGACUCCCUGGCCUACAUGGCCGAGUACAGGCCUGCUUCCCGCUGCAGGUCGAUACGGACGCAGUGCUGAGGGGACGCCCGAGGCUCCGCGCACACACACACACACACACACACACACACACACACACACACGGCUGCACACUUACAAGCAGGGCAACACAAUAGGGUCCGCGCAGUCGCUGCUGCGGAGCGGACGGGGGGAGUAAUCCGCCCGAGGGGGGGGGGGUGUUGCUGCACGCUCUGACGGGGAAUCCACAUUAGCCUCUUUUUAGCCAUGUCAUGCUAAUCAUCCGUGUGGGUGGAGGCCGAUGUUAAUUGAGCACAGCGCUCACACACACGCAUCCGGACGCCUCCUCUUAAAGGAUCAGUGGAGUUGCACGCGGAGGACGGGAGGCGUCAUAGGAGCCAAAUGUCGGCUAAACGACCACUGCUGUGCAGAUGAGUUGGAUCCUACAUUUCCCACAAUGCAACAGCAUCUUUUUUUUUUUUUUCAGAGCCUCCAUACCCGGUAACCAGUGUCUUUCAAACCCCACAUGUUCUUUACAGAAAGGUAACCCCCUGAUGACAUCACUACGGUGUUCUGAUGACAUCAUCACUAUGACGUCAUCGGGGGUUAUUUUCCGGCUGGGUGGAAUUCAACGACCCAACGGCUUCACGUGUUAAAUUGGAGAAGUGCCCUGAGUAACGUGGAGCGAUUGCUUUUUUUUUUUUUUAGGGCUGGGGGUUCGUGGGGGGGGGUGUGAAGUACAUUCCGACAGCGGAAGCUUCGACAUUCAUGACCCAUUUCUCUCAGCGCCGCGCCGCCCGGCUCGAGGAGAAUAAAAAUCCAAACCGAUGGAGAUUAACGCUCUGCUUGUUCUUCCGCUUCGCUCCUGUGUUCUUUUCCUCUCCAGGCUUUCUCCCCCCCUCCUCCCCCUCGCUCUUCACCCUAACAGCUAGAGCAGUUAUUACUACUUAAAGUACUGCGCUUGCUGACAGGGAGGGUGUGUGAGUGUGUGUGAGUGUGUGUGUGUGUGUGAGUGUGUGUGUGUGUGUGUGUGUGUGUGUGUGUGUGCGCUGUAAAACACUGGCCUGAUGGCUCCUGUGGGUAUUUCAGAAGCCGCAGUCGCUUCUCUAAAGUUCAAGCAAUUACAUUUUCCGACCGGGUGCCAUUUGCCAAACAGUCUCUGGCUGUGUGUGUGUGUGUGUGUGUGUGUGUGUGUGUGUGUUUGAUGUGUGUGUGGGUAUUUGUGUUUGUGUAUCAUGUAUGUGUCUGUCGGUUGGAGACCACCUUGCCUCAUACGCGUAGAUUCUUACUAGUGAAUAAUAAUGUAGACCUACAAUGACUGCACUUUUUGCGUAGCUCGAUACUGCACAUUAUCAGUGGUCGGACUCAACAGGAUGUAGGAAAUGUCAAACAAUAAUGAGUAAAUUCCCCAAAGGCAUCGUGACAUCGUCGCUGACCAGCUGCCUUCAGGUCUUUACAAAGCGCUUCAUAGUUCAAAGCAAGAAGUCCAACUUUAUUCCUCCUUAGAUCUCGACAAGCUCAUCACACCAUCCAAUGCUUUGUUCCUUACCUUUCACAAUAAAAGCCCUCAACGUACACCGUAGACUGCAAUUGUUCCCCUGAUGCUACUUUCAGUGGUUCUGGUCAGAUAGUAAUUUACGUUAUGACCAUAAUAGCACACACGGCAGGAGACGUGCACCAGGCAGGGAGGAACAGUUGAGCUGCAAACCCCCCGUCCCAUCUUCAGCAAACCCCGGUACCUGGGAAGAAAACUAAGAAAACAGGCACAUAGAAAUAAACAAGGUACAAGACAACAAAAGGGGGCAAUAUCAACUUGGAGCAGAGGGACACGUGACAACGCAUCUGCUAUUACGUUGUCCGCGCCUUUAGUACGUCUGGAGCACGUAGGCUCGCAAAACAAUCAAAUAAAACCGGAUAAAAGAUGAAGAACCUCAUGACUGGGAACCUGGACGUGUUUAGCAUGUUGUUGCUGCAGCUGGCAACAGAGUCUUCUGCUAAUCACAACCACAUGUCAUUCAAGGCUCCUUGGGGGUUAUAACAUGAAGAUGGUGGAUUGGGGGGGGGGGGGCUGUAGACGCGGAUGACGAGUUCUGCACGCCGCAGCCGAUCGCUGCAUGCACGGCGGGAUGCGUGCGCCGCGAAAAGGCCGACGCGGACGCUUUCCGAUCAAAGACGCCACGAAGCCACAUUUUGAAUAAAAGCGCUUUGCUUCUUUCUGCUGAAGAGUAACUUUCGCUCGUUAGCAGCCGGACUCGAGUUCAGCCUCUGUUGAACUGGAGAGUCGGUGCGUGUGUGUGUGUGUGUGUGCGUGUGUGCGUGUGUGUGUGUGUGUGUGUGUGCGGCGUCUCAGCGAGCAGAAUGGGCUGCCACCGGCCUGACAGGAUGACAGCUGUCACCAAGGAAAUAGAAAAGAGGAGAGCGAGCUGAGACGCGGCCUCCAGGGAGCACACGCACACGUGCACACGCGGCCUGGAAGUCGUGCCUAUUCUUUUUUAGCAUGUUCCAUGCGUGCAGCCAUGUUGGUUUGGGAGCCGGAGAGCAGCAGCGGUGCGGCUAUAAUUGGUUUGUGUUUCGGUAAUGCGCACACUUAUCCUCACAUCAGCAAUUACAGUAUGUGUAUUGAAAAGGAACAAAGGGACAGUGUUGCUGUUUACAAGGUGUGUGUGUGUGUGUGUGUGUGUGUGCUUCCCCUGUGUGCGUGUUGUGUGUAUUGAGCUUGUUGUGCUUCAUUAGUUUAUAUUGUAAAAUCGAUGUUGCCCGUUGUGCUGCGUCUCUUCUUGGACUCGGUGAUACGCUGGUGUGUGUGUGUGUGUGUGUGUGUGUGUGUUUUGUGUUGUGUGCGUGUGUGCGACCACUAAUGGUGACCCUGGGGAGGGAGUCCGACACGAAGGUGGGAGCCCCCUAAGUGACCUGGAAAGCCGACCCAUCCGUCAACCCUUUCUCCUCUCAGUCCUUUCCCUCCUCCUCUGCUGGCGUUUUUCUUCUUCUACCUCUUUUUCCUCUGUAGUGUCAUUACAGCCGUCGCUGCCCUUAAAGCUGAAGCGAGGACCUCCGUGUGUUUCAAUGAGCAAGUGUGCGAUCCCCCCCAAAUC